rnacentral:rRNA from 1 species
UACGUAGGGUGCGAGCGUUAAUCGGAAUUACUGGGCGUAAAGCGUGCGCAGGCGGUUUUGUAAGUCAGAUGUGAAAUCCCCGGGCUUAACCUGGGAACUGCGGUUGAAACUACAAGGCUAGAGUGUGACAGAGGGGGGUGGAAUUCCACGUGUAGCAGUGAAAUGCGUAGAGAUGUGGAGGAACACCGAUGGCGAAGGCAGCCCGCUGGGUUAACACUGACGCUCAGGCUCGAAAGCGUGGGGAGCAAACAGG